CUGGUUCCUGAAUGCUGAAGCAAUGCGACUGGCUGCUUCAGGCUCCCCCCGCUGUGAAUUCCACCCAGAUGUACGCCAGGAUGGACUUCUCUCUCCCUUCAAUUGUUUCUGGUUGCAGCAACAAGCAGCGGUGGCAAUCUAGAUGCUGUGAUUUAGGACGAGUGCAACCUCUGGGGUGGUCGGCAAAGAUAUUCCUGCAAGAAGCUACCUGCUGAGCCGCUGAGCUUGUUUUCCUGACAGAUCCUGACAAAGUGAAAAAAAGCGAUCCUGGCAUAGUGGGGGAUGGGUCCCCCCCCCCCAUCCCUCACCCCUUUAAAAAUCAGGCCCUAGAAUUAAAGUUGAGCCUUGAUCAGA
rnacentral:lncRNA from 1 species